UACGGAGGGGGCUAGCGUUGUUCGGAAUUACUGGGCGUAAAGCGCACGUAGGCGGCUUUGCAAGUUAGAGGUGAAAUCCUGGAGCUCAACUCCAGAACUGCCUUUGAUACUGGCGAUCUUGAGUCCGGGAGAGGUGAGUGGAACUGCGAGUGUAGAGGUGAAAUUCGUAGAUAUUCGCAAGAACACCAGUGGCGAAGGCGGCUCACUGGCCCGGUACUGACGCUGAGGUGCGAAAGCGUGGGGAGCAAACAGG
rnacentral:rRNA from 1 species